rnacentral:rRNA from 1 species
AUAGAGUUGAUCCUGGCUCAGAUUGAACGCUGGCGGCAGGCCUAACACAUGCAAGUCGAGCGGGUACCACAGAGAGCUUGCUCUCGGGUGACGAGCGCGGACGGGUGAGUAAUGUCUGGGAAACUGCCUGAUGGAGGGGGAUAACUACUGGAAACGGUAGCUAAUACCGCAUAACGUCGCAAGACCAAAGUGGGGGACCUUCGGGCCUCAUGCCAUCAGAUGUGCCCAGAUGGGAUUAGCUAGUAGGUGGGGUAAUGGCUCACCUAGGCGACGAUCCCUAGCUGGUCUGAGAGGAUGACCAGCCACACUGGAACUGAGACACGGUCCAGACUCCUACGGGAGGCAGCAGUGGGGAAUAUUGCACAAUGGGCGCAAGCCUGAUGCAGCCAUGCCGCGUGUAUGAAGAAGGCCUUCGGGUUGUAAAGUACUUUCAGCGAGGAGGAAGGCGUUAAGGUUAAUAACCUUAGCGAUUGACGUUACUCGCAGAAGAA